UACAUUAAAAAAAUAGUAACAUGUUCUUUUAACAAAAUAAUUUCAUGUUUCAAAGGCAAACGUGAUAAAAUCAUGUCAGAUAAGCAUGAAAUUUAACAACCUAACGUUCAUGAAAUUCAGUCAUGUUGAGAUAACAUGAUUCAAUGGAGUCAGAAUGAUCUUGCGCCGAAGACGGAGCAGCGAGAUCACGGGAGAUCACGCGAGAUCACGCGAGAUGACAUACCAUUUGGUGUGCCCGGGAAAUUUCGAAUGGCAGUUAUCAAGCGAAGAAGGAAGUUGGCUGGCGUGCAUCAUAAAAGAACAUCACUUGUCUGUUGUUCAUCUGCAUGAGUACCAGUGAAGGGGGUCAUCGGCCAUCAAGUUUUUGAUUUCAGUGGUUAAUAGUGAGUGCAGAGUUCGAGAGAAUCACAACAAUCCAUUUGCAGUCAACAUUCUUCUCCAGGCUUGAUGUUCAAUCUGCAAACCUAAUGAAGGCGUAUGCCAAGA